CCUAAACCCUAGCCAGCCCGACCCAUUCAAAUCUGCGCCGCCGCCCCAGUCCUCUGAGCUCGAAACUACAUCUGUCGCACCGUCGGGCUCCCCUGAGCUCGCACGCACGCUGCCUCCUCGUGCCCUCUCCGAAGCCCGCGCCGUGCCUCCGGGAUCUCCUCGACGACCGCGCUGCCGCCCUGGAGACCUCCUGGACGUCCGCGCCGCAGCCCCCGGAGACCUCGACGCCCGCCGCCGCCCCCGGAGACCUCCUCGACGCUCGCGCCGCCGCCCUAGGGCCCUCCUCGGAGCCCGUGCCGCCACCCCAGGUCCUCCGCGGCGCUCGCGCCUCGCCCCCAUGGACCUCCGGAUGCCUGCGUCGCCGCUGCCCCCAAGGGCCUCGAGAGGCUACAUGUCACAGGGGCCUAUGCAGCACCCGUGCUGCCACCAACGCACAGGGACAAGCCGCACCAACACCGCCCUCUCUCUCCCAACCUCCCUUUCAGAUCUGCUCUUCCAAUCUUAAAUCAGAUUUGCCCUGACCCUGUGCUGAUUUUGGGUUUGUGGAAAUGAACAGAGGUUCAUGAGAUUUCCAAAUACGUAUUGGAUUUCAUGGAGAUCAACGGCGUGCCCAUCGAAAUCCCGGAAUACCCAGAAUCCGAGUACCUGGCCAUAGUCCGCAUGCCCUCUGCCAAGUUUAUGCGUAUCUGCAAGAAGCUCAGCAGCGUCGGGGACAGGGGGGACAGGGACACUGUUGUCAUUAUCUCGGUGGAUAAGGAGCGUGUCGACUUCUUCACUUGGGGAAAAGCUGGGACCUCAACAAUUUUCUACACUGCUGGCAAGCCAAAAGAACCUACCCUUAUAGAAGAACCUAUCCUUAUAGAGAUGAAAGAAAAGGUUUCCCUGACCCUUGACCUAAGUACGUGAACUCCUUCUCCAAGGUGUGUACCCAGUCUGAUUAACAAGUGACUAUUAGUCUUUCAUCCGAGCUACCCGCGCUGUUUGAGUACAAGGUCACAGAGAUGACCUGCAACAGAUAUUACGUGACUCCAAUGAUCAAAUUGCAGAAUGAGGGAGAUGAGAUGCAGAAUGAGGGAGAUGGGAUGCAGAACUGAUGACAAGCAGGGAUUCGUAUGGUCAUGUUGCCUACUUUGUCUUUCCACCAUCAAUUGCUUGACUAUUGUUUGCAAGCAAAAAAGUGAUUAUGUCUCAUCUGUUUAAGCCAGACAGUUUCAGUUGCUUGUAUCAGUAUCUACUGUGAGUCCUUGGAUUUACAGUGAAUCAGUGAAUUUAGAUGAGUGGAUUUGUGCUUUGUGCUUUGGUAUAGGAGUAGGUUCAGACCUCACAACAUCAUGAAACCUGCAGUCUUGAUUUUCUCUAGUGUAGUGGUAGUCCUGAUCACUCUGCAGGAUCUCAUGCCACAGAACCUAAUCUCACGGAACCCGAAGAGAUCUUUGAUUACUUGAACAAUUAAUACCUUCAACCUGUGUGUGAAAAAGCUAUAGAAGAUGGGGUAGAAGUCAUGCCCACUGUGGUGAAUCACCUAUGAAAUAUCCUGAAGAAUUUGCGUGGGACGUUGAGUUUGGCAAUGAAAUUAUAUUAAAAUUGCAGAAGUGAAUGUCAGACAACCAUCCAGUCUACUGAACAGUGGGAUAGACUUCAUUCUUGCCGGUGGUCUUGCUGAACCAAGAAGAGCAAAUGGAGUUAAUUUUGCACUUCAGGAGCUUCAAAGAAUUGUUGAGUACAGAAACAAGAUUCACUUCCCCUGAUACUAUAGACUCAUCACUGAUGAAUUAAUGUUUGGGUACAGGUAGCUAAUACUAUAGACUUAUCAUUGAUGAGUCAAUGUUUCAUGUUUGUAAUGGUUGAUCAUAUACGUAUAUCUCAGUGUGAGUGUUUGAACUAGAUCAUGAAUCUAUUUGUAUGAGAAACGUGCACAAUGAUGUUAGUUUUGUAUUAAUUUGCAAACAAAUGGCCUUUUAUUUUUUUAAA